rnacentral:lncRNA from 1 species
GGGAGGAAAUACUUCUGUCUCUGUAUAACUCGUUGUUAAGAGGUUUUCACUGUGUGAUGAUGAAAAGUCCCCUAACUGGCUACCAAGCCAGAAAAACUGAUGAUUCAGGGGCUUUUAAUGGGAGAUGAUAAAGAGUUUCCUAAUUGGCUGCUCAGCUAGAACUCAAUAAAGGGUGACCUACUGCUCUACUCUUCUCUUCUUUUUCAGUUAUGAAGUCUUUUUGAGGAUUAUUGCAUGCAGAUGGUCAUGUGGGAGAAAGAUAGCAGCCCUGUCUCUCAGGUCCAUGUGGACAUGAGAACAUGUCCCUUCUAAGCAAGGUCUGCAAUGGGGCCACCUCUUUCUUGCAUUUCCUUUUCUUAAGUAGGAGACUUGGUGAGUUUUGAAAGGUUUGGAAGUCUGUUUUUGUAGCAGCAGUAGUAAUAGCAUCCUCACUGCAGGGUGAUGGCGCUUGAGGCCGUCAGAGCCACUGGAGUCCGUAGUGCCCAGGGAAAUAUGUCAAAGAGACUGGCCACCAGAAAGAAAGGACUGACCUAGUUGGGCUACUUUACCAAUGGGUUAUUCUAUGUGUUCUGAAGGGAGAGGAUAGAGGCAAAAUGUAAAAACUGCUAAUUAGCAGCCUUGCAAACUCUAUUAUGUCCCAAUAUUCUUGAAUAUAAACCUGGUAUAAUUAGCUGAUUGUAUUAGGUUUAUAAGUUAAGUUACUAAAUCCUGUUUAAAGGGUUUUGUUGCUGUUUGCUGUGAUUCUUUUUAUGGUUAUCAUUGCUUUCUGUGUAGGAGCUAAUGACCUGUUCCAAAUUCAAUUCACAUUGUGACCCAGGCUGGGCCCUUCAGGCACGUCUCCUUCCCUGGGAGCUAGGCUUCGGACGUCUCCGGACCCACCCUGGGGGAAAGGUGGGCUCAAGGACCAGACAGGACGCGAGUGUGGUGUAUGCUCUUUAUUGUGGAGGAUCCCCCGAUCCUUUGUUCUCAGCCCGUUAUAUAAUCUGAGGGCGGGUCAUGAAGGCUACAAGGAUCCACCCCGAAGGCGGUGCCAACAACCCAUUAGCGGAGCCUCCCCAGCACCUCAUCCGGGAUUGCCACGUAGCUCACUGCUGAGCCCGCAAGCUAUCCCAGAAGAGGCGGGUCCCAACUCCUGGGGUGUCACCUCUCCAUUCAGGUGUCCCCUGCCAGCCCCCAAUCACCUUUACCUCUCCAUUCCGGUGUCCCCUGCCAGCCCCCAAUCACCUUUACCUCUCCAUUCCGACAUCUCUUACCAGCCCCCAACAACAUUGGACAUCAAGUACCUCUUUUCCUACUCCCCUUUUUAGGAAGGCUCUAGGCUCGAGCCAAAAAUAACACUGUCCUUAAGACUGUUAGGUGAGGAUUUAAUGAGUUAACCAAAGUGAGAAGGGAAAGCUAGAUCCCCUUAAUUAGAAGCAAGUUGUCCUAGC